rnacentral:rRNA from 1 species
GACGAACGCUGGCGGCGUGCUUAACACAUGCAAGUCGAACGGAAAGGCCCUGCUUUUGUGGGGUGCUCGAGUGGCGAACGGGUGAGUAACACGUGAGUAACCUGCCCUUGACUUUGGGAUAACUUCAGGAAACUGGGGCUAAUACCGGAUAGGAGCUCCUGCUGCAUGGCGGGGGUUGGAAAGUUUCGGCGGUUGGGGAUGGACUCGCGGCUUAUCAGCUUGUUGGUGGGGUAGUGGCUUACCAAGGCUUUGACGGGUAGCCGGCCUGAGAGGGUGACCGGCCACAUUGGGACUGAGAUACGGCCCAGACUCCUACGGGAGGCAGCAGUGGGGAAUAUUGCACAAUGGGCGGAAGCCUGAUGCAGCAACGCCGCGUGCGGGAUGACGGCCUUCGGGUUGUAAACCGCUUUCGCCUGUGACGAAGCGUGAGUGACGGUAAUGGGUAAAGAGGCACCGGCUAACUACGUG